UGGGGAAUCUUGCACAAUGGGGGAAACCCUGAUGCAGCGACGCCGCGUGAGCGAUGAAGGUUUUCGAAUCGUAAAGCUCUGUCCUAUGGGAAGAUAAUGACGGUACCAUAGGAGGAAGCCCCGGCUAACUACGUGCCAGCAGCCGCGGUAAUACGUAGGGGGCAAGCGUUGUCCGGAAUUACUGGGCGUAAAGGGUUCGCAGGCGGCAUGACAAGUCCGAUGUAAAAGGCGAAAGCUCAACUUUCGUAAGCAUCGGAAACUGUCAAGCUUGAGUGAAGGAGAGGCAAGUGGAAUUCCUAGUGUAGCGGUGGAAUGCGUAGAUAUUAGGAGGAAUACCGGUGGCGAAGGCGACUUGCUGGACUUCAACUGACGCUGAGGAACGAAAGCGUGGGUAGCAAACAGG
rnacentral:rRNA from 1 species